rnacentral:rRNA from 1 species
UGUGCCAGCCGCCGCGGUAAUACGUAGGGUCCAAGCGUUAAUCGGAAUUACUGGGCGUAAAGCGUGCGCAGGCGGUUGUGCAAGACCGAUGUGAAAUCCCCGAGCUUAACUUGGGAAUUGCAUUGGUGACUGCACGGCUAGAGUGUGUCAGAGGGGGGUAGAAUUCCACGUGUAGCAGUGAAAUGCGUAGAGAUGUGGAGGAAUACCGAUGGCGAAGGCAGCCCCCUGGGAUAACACUGACGCUCAUGCACGAAAGCGUGGGGAGCAAACAGGAUUAGAUACCCCGGUAGUCC